GCCCGCUAUGCUACAGAAGAAGUGUCCACGGACACUAAGAAGCAGGCUAGGUUCCGAAAGGGUCUCAACCCUAAGUUGCAUCAUGAUCUCCACCUGCAUCAUUGCGAUACUUUCCAGGCUCUUGUGAACAAGGCAAUUAAUGCAGAGACAGCUCAACUCACUUACGAGGAGUCUCGUAAGCACAACAGUGAUCUGGGUUCUUCCUCCCGCUCUGGCUCUCAGAAGCGACGGAUUUGGAUUCCGAACUCAACUCUUCCACCUGGAUAUGCACUGAGGCCAUCCGAUGUGGCGCCUCACCCAACUUAG
rnacentral:rRNA from 1 species